rnacentral:rRNA from 1 species
GACGAACCGUGCGAACGUUGUUCGGAUUCACUGGGCUUAAAGGGCGCGUAGGCGGUCCGCCGGGUCGGGGGUGAAAGCCCACAGCCUAACUGUGGAAGGGCCUCCGAAACUGGCGGACUGGAGUGGGGUAGGGGCAUGCGGAACUUCCGGUGGAGCGGUGAAAUGCGUAGAUAUCGGAAGGAACGCCGGUGGCGAAAGCGGCGUGCUGGACCCCGACUGACGCUGAGGCGCGAAAGCCAGGGGAGCGAACGGG